rnacentral:misc_RNA from 1 species
AAGAAAAAAAAAAAACUCGUGGUAAUAAAUAAUAUCGCCAAUGACAAAGAGACUGGACUAUAGCAUAAAACUUCCUAUCAUAAGUGGAUUACCUUUGUUUAGCUUCAUUAAGUUUUUCACUAAGGAAUGCUAUAGGAUGACCUUCUUGACUCAAGACACAUCCAAUACUAACGCCUAAAACAUCACAAGCAACUUCAAAAAUUUUAUCAAAAUUAGGAUGCCCUAAAACAGGUGCUUCAGUUAUUUUCAACUUAAUAUCAUCUAAGGCUUUAAUAGCAGCUUUAGUCCAAUUAAACUCUCAUUUCUUAAGACAAUCAUUAAUAGGAGUCAUGAUUGAACUAAAUCCCCUAAUGAACUUUCUAUAAAAAGUAGCCAAUCCAUGAAAACUACGUACCUCAGAAAUUGUUUUAGGCAUAGGCCACUCUUUAAUAACUCUUUAUCUUUUUAGGAUCAGCUGCUACACCUUGCGCAGACACAAUAAAACCUAAGAAAAGCACUUUAGAUUGCAUAAAAGAACCCUUCUUAAGGUUAAUAUAUAAUUUUACUUCCUUUAGCGUAUUAAAAACCUGUCAAAGUUGAUCCAAAUGCUCUUUUUUAGAUUUACUGUAGAUUAAAAUAUCAUCAAAAUAAACUACCAAAAACUUACCAAUGAAAGAUUGUAAAACAUGAUUCAUGACACACAUAAAAGUACUAGGUGCAUUAGACAAUCCAAAAGGCAUCACUAACUAUUCAUACAAUUCUUCUUGGGUUUUAAAAGUAGUUUUCCAUUCAUCUCCUGGUCUAAUCCUGAUUUGAUGAUACCUACUACGUAAGUUAAUUUUAGAGAACACACAAGAUCCUGCAAACAAGUCCAACAUAUCCUUAAGUCUAGGAAUUAGGAACUUAUAUUUAAUAGUAAUCUUGUUUAUGGCUCUAUUAUCCACACACAUUCUCCAAGAACCAUCUUUCUUAAGUGUCAUGAGUGCAGGAACAGCACAUGGACUAAGACUAUACCUAAUAAAUCCCUUUAUCACAAGUUCUUCAACUUGCCUAUUUAAUUCAACUCGCUCCAUAGGGUUCAUCCUAUAAUGAGGAAGAUUAGGUAACUGUGAUCCAGGAGCAAAGUCAAUAGCAUGCUGAAUAUCUCUCAUUGGUGGUAACUCACUAGGUAACUCAUUAGGCAUAAUGUCGGAGAACUCUUCUAACUAGUAUUUUACCUCAGAGGAGGUGUCAGGUCUAGAAUCACAAGGGACCUCUUUAGCUAUGACAGUUAAGCAAUAUUUACUUUCCCUUCAUACCUUAUCAAAAGCCACAUGAUUCAAGAGCCACAUGAUUCAAGAUAGUAAUUUUCUUUUGAGCCUUAAGUGAAGACUUAGGCUUUGGGUUUGAAGAUGAGGAGUUCUUUUGGGAAGGUUUGAUAGGUGUCAAAAUGAUUUUGUUUCCAUUAAACUUAAACACAUAGGUGUUGUCCUUAUCAUGGUUACGCACAUAAUGAUUAUAAAGCCAAGGGCGACCUAAAAGAAUAUAACCAACAUCCAUAGGUAAAAUAUCACAAUAAAUUUCAUCUUUCUAAUGAUCCAUUUGUAUGGGAACAAGACAUCUUUCAGUUAUAGGCAAAGUUGUAUUAGUCACCAAGUAACCCUAAAAAGUUUAUGAUGUGGCUCUACCUUAAGGUUAAGUCUAUCAAUGGCUUACUUAGCUACUACAUUCAUGGUGCUUCCCUCAUCAAUUACCAACUUGCUUGACUUAUCUCCACUUUUAACAAAAGUAUGAAAG